AGAGUUUGAUCCUGGCUCAGAGCGAACGUUAGCGGCGGGCCUAACACAUGCAAGUCGUACGAGAAUAGGGGAGCAAUCCCCUUAGUAAAGUGGCGGACGGGUGCGUGACACGUGGGUGAUCUACCUUCCGGCGGGGGACAACAGUCCGAAAGGAUUGCUAAUACCGCGUACGUCGGCGAAGCCUCCGGGUUUCGUCGGGAAAGACGGCCUCUCCUUGGAAGCUGUCACCGGAAGAUGAGCCCGCGGCCCAUCAGCUAGUUGGUGAGGUAACGGCUCACCAAGGCUAAGACGGGUAGCUGGUCUGAGAGGAUGAUCAGCCACACUGGGACUGCGACACGGCCCAGACUCCUACGGGAGGCAGCAGUGGGGAAUAUUGGGCAAUGGGCGCAAGCCUGACCCAGCCACGCCGCGUGAGUGAUGAAGGCCUUCGGGUCGUAAAGCUCUGUGGGGAGGGACGAACAAGCCUGUGGCUAACAUCCACGGGCCCUGACGGUACCUCCUUAGCAAGCACCGGCUAACCAUGUGCCAGCAGCCGCGGUA
rnacentral:rRNA from 1 species